GGGCCCUAUUAUGACUCGCGAGUCGAACGUUCGACUCAAGUCGAACGAUUUGGCGAAUUGCCUAAGUCGUGGUAUUAUGAAAGGCGAACUUCGACGUUCGCUUUUGAAAACAAUAUUACCAACUAUAAGAAGUGAAAUAUGUAACGUCAUGACUCGGUGAAACGUCAAAGACUGAAAAUUAUUGUUGAUGAUAUAUUGUUUACAAUUUGGAAAAAAGUAAAAUAAAUAAAACAAAAUAUGAUAAGCAGUGUUGAUUUAUUUUUUAAAGAUGAAGAUGAAAACGAAAGAGCGGAGAAAGUAUUGGUGUGUAGAGAGAAGUUUAAGGGACAACUCCAACCCACUUCAACUUCCAGAUAAUUUGUAAGAAUAAAAUCGUGAAUUCUAUUUCAGUUUAAUUCAAUUGUUCUUUUUAUAGGUUUGUGUCAUAUUUUCGCAAUAAUAAGCAAGCAUUUGGUUAUAUUUUAAACAUCAUUACACCAGGAUUUAAAACUACUCAAAGUUCUGCAAUUCCAUCAUAUAUAAAAGUUUCAGUAGUUCCAAGUGAAGUUACUUAUUACUUUUUUACUUGUUACUUUUUUGAAAGGGCCAGAUUACCCGGAAUAGUGUGCUGUGUAGAUGGGACUCACAUUGGAAUAAUCGCUCCUGUUCAGCUACAACAUCAAUUUUUGAACAGAAAAGGAUUUUAUAGUUUGAAUGUUAGUGGUGGCCUGUGACAAUAAUGGAAUUAUAAGAUUUAUUGAUUCCAGAUAUCCAGGUUCAACACAUGACUCUUUUGUGUGGAAUCAUAUUGAAUUAAAGGAUCUUUUGGAAAGCUGGUGGUUGAAUGGAGAGCGGUCAAGAUAUCUAGGUGUGAAUAUAUUCCAUUCGUAGAUCCGAAAGAUCCUAUACCUUUCGCAUUUUCGGGGUUUGUCUCCAUAAUUUCAACGAGCUUUAAAAAUUGGUUGGAGUUGGUUCUUUUUAUGCUAGGUAUACAAAUAAAAUUCUAUAUUAUUUUUGCAAUUGUUAAGCAUUCAUUAAUUUUAAGCAUUCAUUACCUUUUUCUAUUUCCAGUGCAACUCAUUUUACUUUAUUUUCCAAAAUUAUUCUCAAAACAAAAUAAAACAAACAAACAACCACCGAUUUCAAAUUUAACAGUAAAUUUCUUCAAGUCACGAAGAACUACAGUUCGACCGAUUCUGACAGAUAAAAGCGAACAUUCGCUAGUGGUAAUAGAGCGAGAUUUCAAUUCGCUAUUUUUUGACAUUUUAGGCGAAUGUCAACUAGGCGAUUCGCAAACGGUAAUACCAAA